CACGUAGGCACCAAGCGUUGUCCGGAUUUAUUGGGCGUAAAGAGCUCGUAGGCGGUUCAGUAAGUCAGGUGUGAAAUCUUUGGGCUUAACCCAAAGCGUGCACUUGAUACUGCUGUGACUUGAGUUCGGUAGGGGAGUGGGGAAUUCCUAGCGUAGCGGUGAAAUGCGCAGAUAUUAGGAGGAACACCGGUGGCGAAGGCGCCACUCUGGGCCGAAACUGACGCUGAGGAGCGAAAGCGUGGGUAGCAAACAGG
rnacentral:rRNA from 1 species